GGUGGCUCCACAUUAGAAGCAUCCUAUGUAGCUGUUCUGCUUGCAGCUGCCCAAGUCUGCCUGGGCCUCCUGCAUGAGGUCAUGAGUCUUAAUAAAGCCACUGACCCACACAUUUGGAAUCGUACUGACUUUUCACAACUAACAGCCAACACAUUGCCAAGAAGCAAUUCAAUUGUUGAGGAUAUCAUAUCAUGCCAGGGAAAGAGAGAUGGAAUUCAGAAAGCCUGGGAUAUUGCAGGGCAUUAGUUCCCCUCGAGAUGUAUGGGGUUGGAGAGGACAGGAGCCAGAAGCUCCCAGUGCAGCAGCAAGGCUGGCCCACGUGAGCACCUGGAGCAUCAUUUCUGCUGCCACAUGCUUGGGCUGCCCCACCCCGCCGUGCCCUGCUCAGCCGUGCCCUGCUCCAUCUCCCUUGCCAGGCCUGAGACCGGCCCCCAGUGUGUUGUGACUCCUGAGGUCUCCCAGCUGUCCCUCAACCCCCAGGAGAAUUGCUCUCCACUCCAGAAGCCACCUGAUGGGGAGGCUGACCCCUCUCCAGGACUGACUGAUCCAGGUUUAUCCUGACAGUAGCCUCUCCUCAGGUCGGAAGACCUCUCAGGCUCUGUUUCUAGGGAGGCUGACCUGCUGACAAUGCUCCUAGCUGGAUUUUGUAAGUGGUCUUGAAUAAAGUCUUCCUCACUGUUUUAACAAGAGACAAGGUAAUGUUCAUUGAACAUCUUAUACAAAGAGGAAACCUGGCACAGAAGUGGACACGCACUCGGAGGGAAAAUGCCAAGUGAAAAUGAAGGCAGAGAUCAGGUGAUGCAUCUGCAAGCUGAGCAACAUCAGGAAUUGCCAAAAACCACCAGGAGCUGGAGAGGCCUGGGACAGAGCCUCCCGCGGAGCCUCAAGGGAGCCAGCCCUGCCCACGCCUUGAUCUUUGACGUCUGACCUCAAGAACUAUGAGAGAACCCAUUUCUGUUGGUGAAGGCUCCCCGUCUGUGGUCCCCUGUCCUGGCAGCCCUAGGAACCUGACCUCUGGUCCCUCUGCAUCCCUGGCAUCACUCUGCCUCCCUCUCUUUUUCUCCAGUGAAUCCGACACACUCUCAGUGAGACAGCCAGGUGGCAAGGGGUCCUCGGAGAAACUCCAGCCGGCCUGCUCGCUGGGCAUGUACACUGGAGUGGAGCCACAGAAGUUCACGGUGUUUGCAGCAGGGAGGAGCCUGGCCACUCCUCUUCCUGGUUGGAACCUGGAAUUUAUUUUGUGAGGCGGGAAGCCUAUACUGGGGAGACUCUUGCUCUGCUGAGUCCCCAUUCCCCCUUUAUUUUCCUUUUUGCCCAAUAAAUCCUAUUAUUCUCAGCCUUCGAAUU
rnacentral:lncRNA from 1 species